rnacentral:rRNA from 1 species
UACAGAGGGGGCAAGCGUUGUUCGGAAUUACUGGGCGUAAAGGGCGCGUAGGUGGCCUUCUAAGUUGAACGUGAAAUCCCUGGGCUCAACCCAGGAACUGCGUCCAAGACUGGGAGGCUUGAAUCCGGGAGAGGGAUGCGGAAUUCCAGGUGUAGCGGUGAAAUGCGUAGAUAUCUGGAGGAACACCGGUGGCGAAGGCGGCAUCCCGGACCGGUAUUGACACUGAGGCGCGAAAGCCAGGGGAGCAAACGGG